CCUACGGGAGGCAGCAGUGGGGAAUAUUGCACAAUGGGGGAAACCCUGAUGCAGCGAAGCAGCGUGAGUGAUGAAGGCUCUAGGGAUGUAAAGCUUUAUCAGUAGGGAAGUAGAAAGAAGGUAGUAGACUACGAAGCACCGGCUAAAUACGUGCCAGCAGCCGCGGUAAUACGUAGGGGGCAAGCGUUAUCCGGAUUUACUGGUUGUAAAGGGAGCGUAGGCGGCUUGUCAAGUCUGAAGUGAAAGUUUACGGCUCAACCCUGAGAUUGCUUUUGAAACGGACGAGCUAGAGUGCUGUAGAGGUAAGUGGAAUUCGUGGUGUAGCGGUGAAAUGCGUAGAUAUUAGGAGGAACACCAGUUGCGAAGGCAGCUUACUGGACUGUAACUGACGUUGAUGCUCGAAAGUGUGGGUAGCAAACAGGAUUAGAUACCCUUGUAGUC
rnacentral:rRNA from 1 species